AAGUGGUGCUCACACUGAUAUGGCUUGCUGUCAAAGGAGAUUGACUGUUCGUGUGCUUCCUCACGAGAGAAUUUGGACCAACGAGCUUUCUCCAAGUCGAUGGCUCUUGAGAAGACCGACUCUUAAUUUCCUCUGAUCUCUUCAAAAACUUCGAGUGGGCUUGUCAAGGCUGUCUACAGGUAAAGAAAGAGGACAAUAUAUAAGUUGCAGGCUUUCUUCCAGUAGCAUUCGAUGUAUCAAUAAAAUGUUUAUUGCUUUCAUUUGCUUUCUGUUCCAGGAAUAUGUGGCACAGUUGAACCUUCUGAGCCCUUACCAUUUCUUCCCUGUUACUCUGCUCUUCACCCAAAGUGGAAUUCAAACUUUUGACAAUAAACAAAUCAUUUCUCGGAAUCUCUGGAAUGGUACUUAAAUUUGUAUCAACCCUGGGCUGCACAUUUACUUCUCCUGGUUCUCUGUGAUCUGAUGAAUAACCUUGUUGAUCAGACUCCUGAUUACACAUGCCAUUUGACCUAUACAAAGAAGAUCGUUCUUUGAUUGGAUUUCUACAGGCUGUAGACUUUGGCACCCGAUCAUUUUUUUUUUCUUGGGUUGGGCAUAGAAGUUAAAGUUAAAGAAGUUUUCUCCCUGAAUCUCUGGUGUACCCACACAGUUUGUAGAUUGAACAUUGUCAAUGAUAGCAUUAUCCUCACAGUCUGCAAUUGCCUCGCCAAGGCAUGGAUGAAUCAAGAUUAAAGCCAUCCAACGUGGGUAAUUUAAACAUCUGAAACUAUACCAUUAUGUUGUAUCAAAUAAAUUUAUGACUGUAUUAUGAGUCCUCCCAUCGCACUCGGAUCAUCCACUUUCCAGCACAAUGAAGCUCAAUUAAGAUGAAUGACAGGUAACAUGUACAUCAGAACAGCCACUUAUCAUGGUAUCAUUUUUCUGAAGAGAGAUGCCAUGAAAUAGCAUUAUCUUUGAGCAAAAUAUGUGCCCUGAGUGGCGAAAAUCUCCAAAUCAUACCUCAGAAAUCAAGACAGAGAGCAGGUAAAUGCUGUAAGUCAUAGCAAUUUUCUCUACAUAAGCGCUUACAUUACGGUGAAACUGCAAGGAGCCAUAGACUACUAGUAAUAGGCUCACAGCAAUUAUGAAGAUACAUAUUUAUAG